UGGCUCAGUGGAUUGAGCGUUGGCCUACGGACUCAAGGGUCCCUGGUUCGAUUCCAGG
rnacentral:tRNA from 1 species